rnacentral:tRNA from 2 species
GAGAUAUUAGUAAAAUAGGUUAUUACACCGCCUUGUCAAGGCCGAAUUGUGGGUUAAAAUCCCAUAUAUCUUA